ensembl:snRNA U6 U6 spliceosomal RNA
GUGCUCACAUCAGCAGCACGUAUGCUGCGAAUAGAAUGACACAGUGAAGAUUCACAUGGUCACUGCUCACGGGUGACAUGCAAAUUCAUGAAGCAUGCCAAAUUUUU